rnacentral:rRNA from 1 species
GACGAACGCUGGCGGCGUGCUUAACACAUGCAAGUCGAACGGAAAGGCCCUGCUUUUGUGGGGUGCUCGAGUGGCGAACGGGUGAGUAUCACGUGAGUAACCUGCCCUUGACUUUGGGAUAACUUCAGGAAACUGGGGCUAAUAUCGGAUAGGAGCUCCUGCUGCAUGGUGGGGGUUGGAGAGUUUCGGCGGUUGGGGCUGGACUCGCGGGUUAUCGGCUUGUUGGUGGGGUAGUGGAUUACCAAGGCUUUGACGGGUAGCCGGCCUGGGAGGGUGACCGGGGUCAAUGGGACUGAGGUACGGCCCAGACGCCUACGGGAGGCAGAAGUGGGGAGUAUGGCACAAUGGGCGGAAGCCUGAUGCAGCAGCGCCGCGUGCGGAAUGACGGCCUUCGGGGUGUAAACCGCUGUCGCCGGUGACGAAGCGUGAGUGACGGUAAUGGGUAAAGAAGCACCGGCUAACUACGUG